UACAGAGGUCCCGAGCGUUGUUCGGAUUCAUUGGGCGUAAAGGGUGCGUAGGCGGUCUGCUAAGUUUGAUGUGAAAUCCCGGGGCUCAACCCUGGAAUUGCAUUGAAUACUGGUGGACUAGAGUACUGGAGAGGAAACUGGAAUUUACGGUGUAGCAGUGAAAUGCGUAGAGAUCGUAAGGAAGACCAGUGGCGAAGGCGAGUUUCUGGACAGUAACUGACGCUGAGGCACGAAGGCCAGGGGAGCAAACAGG
rnacentral:rRNA from 1 species